AGGCGGUGCCCGAUGCCGAGGCGGUGCCCGAUGCGGUGCCAGAGACGGUGCCAGAGACGGUUCCCGAUGUAAUGCCCGAGACCGAGGCGGAGGUCGAGGCGGUGCCCGAUGCUGUGCCCGAUGCCGAGGCUGUGCCCGAUGCCGAGGCUGUGCCCGAUGCCGAGGCGGUGCCGAUGCUGUUCCGCAGGUCGAGGCGGUGCCCGAGGCUGUGCCCGAUGCCGAAGCGGUGCCCAAUGCUGUUCCGGAGGCCGAGGCGGUGCCCGAUGCGCAGGCCGAGGCCGUUCCCGAGGCGGUGUCCUUGUCCAAUGCCGUUCCUGAGGCCGUUCCUGAGACCGUUCCCGAGGCGGUGCCCGAUGCCGAGGUCGUUCCCGAGGCGGUGUCCUUGUCCGAUGCCGUUCCUGAGGCCGAUGCGGGGCCCGAGAUGGUUCCGGAGGCGAUACCCGUGUCCAAGGCCGUUCCCGAGGCGGUGCCCUUGUCUGAGACCGUUCCCGAUGCCGUUCCCAAUGCCGUGACCUGGCCAUCGCCACAGCCUGCUCCUUACUGGCUCCCCGAUUGGCAGGUUCCGUUCGGGCCACUCAAAUGGCGAAUUCCUCCCUGGCCGUCUGCACAACGAGAAUGGACUGAUCCACCGUGGCCACCUGAACUGCCUGGUCCCUCGUGGUCCCCUGAACUUUCGGGUCCACCAUGGCCCCCUGAUCUGACCGAGCCACCUGGGCUACCAGGGGAGCCAUCACUGCCGGUCCCAGUUCCCCUACACGGGCCUGGCCCGCCAUCCCUCCCC
ensembl:lncRNA